UAAGCCAACUUUCCCCAUUUUCAGCACAGCAAGGAAGCAGGACUGAGCCCCAAGUGCAGAUGUACAUGAACAGUAAAACAAGACAAAUGCAUACAAGCGCUUGCUCUGUAAUUUCUUAAGAAAAAUAAGAAAGCAAAUCGUGAUGUACUUUUUGGUACAGAAUUUCAACAGAGAAAUCGAACAGGCCAAUGAAUCCAGCUGAAUUUGGAUAGAGCAGCUUAAGUUGACCUGACAUGAUCAAUGUACUGAAGGUAAAAUUGUGAACAGUCGCAAUCAACUGACUUUGGGAGAAAUUCUACAACGUCCACACUUUACAGUUGAAACAUGGAAAUAAGGGCUGGUGCUACAGCAACAAUAUUGUGACUAUAAAUCAAACUUGAAGAUGGAAGCUGGUCUUUUGGAAGUUAGAACAAAAAUAAAAGAAUCUUGGGCUCCCAAUGGAGUCACACCUGCUAUAGACUGCCUAUAUCUAGGGUUCAUGUUAUAUGAAAGAAUCUUGUUAAAGUCAUUGCUAUUUGGGAUGUUUGUUAGUUGCAGCUGAACACAAUUCCUAACUUAUGCAAACCCUUUUCUGUACUAUCACUACUUUUCCUUCUAGAACUAUUUGCCUAAACACUAUAUUAUUGUUUGAGGUUAGUUUUUAAGGUAUUUCUUAUAUCUACAUCCUCACUGUAAAAAAAAUAAAGUGCGAAGAAAAAUAAUCAUGCAUAAUUUCACUGCCCAGGGCUAAAUGCAGUUGACAUUUUGAUGUUUUGCCUUCCAGUCAUUUUUCUAUUCCUAUAUCAUAAGCAUGGAUGAGCUCAUAUAUAUCUUUCUUCAUUUGUUUUAUUGCAGAAAUAUUUGCCUGCCAUAUUAAAAAUUAUCUUAAACAUCUUUUAAAUUCUACAUAAUAUUGCAAAUUCUGUGAAUUUGCUAUAAUUUAUUUUGCAUUCCUACCUAGUUGGAUAUUGACUAUUUUCUGUAUUUUGAUGUCAUAAACAUUACUACGGUGAUCAUGUGAAUGUAUAAAGUUACUUUGUUUAUGCAUUUCAGAUUCUUUCCUUUGGACAGAUUCCUAAGUGUAUCAUUAUUAGGUCAAAGGAUUUAAAUAUUUUCUAGCCUCAAUGCACAGGGCCAAAAUGCUUUUCUAAAACAGAUCAGUAUACAUCCAAUCCACUCAAUAGUACCAAGCAUGGUUAUGUGAUCAUCCUAGCUAGUGAAGAAAUUAUGUUCUAGGAUUGUUUUACUUUUUGAGCACUUGAUUAUUACUGAGAGUGAACACUCUUCAUGCCCACCACCACUUGUGUUUCCUACAGUGUUUUAUGCACCUUUGUGUCUCCAACAUCUACCGUACAUCCUGGAUCACAGGAUAAACUCAAUAUGGCUUCACCAAAAGAUGUGGUUAUUUUUAAUAACCUUGUAUCUGAGAUGGCCUGAGAAAAAUUGCUUUUGGAAUUAUUACCAAUUAGAUUAUAUACCAUGGAGUUUUAGUGUUUGAAUACUGAUGAUCCCACGGAGGACUAUAAUAGUUACAUGUAACACCAAACUUUUUCUAUUUAUUACACACUGUUCUAAAACUUUAAGUGCAUUAUUUCAUUAAAACUUCAUAAUAACCCUGUGAGGUAGUUAGUAUUAACCUCCCCAUUUUAGCAUUUAGAAGCUGAGACAGAGAGAUGUUAAAUCAAUGGAACAAGGAUUUCAACCUACGCAGUGUAAUUCUAGAAUGAAUUUUUAUUCAGAUUCUCCAAUGUGCAUGGAAACUUUUGGGGAUAUCAAGAGGGGAAAAUAAACAUGGUCCUGGUCUUCCAAAGUUCAAUCUGUUUGUGUAGACAAAAUGAAACAGAGUAAAUGUGGAUAAUAACGGUGAUAGGAAUAACCAAUACUUACUGAGGGCCAGACACUGUUCUAAGCACUUACUCCUUUCAAAAUAUGCAUGCUAUAGGCACUACUAUUAUUUUCAUUUUACAGGUAAGGAAACUGAAGCAGAGAGAUUAUGUAAUUUGUCUGAGCUUACACAAGUAGUAACUGAUGGAGCCAGGAUUUGAAUCUAGAAAGACUUCAGAGCCUACCUUCUUAACCACUUUGUACAGAACUUUCCAUUGUUGCAUACAAAAGGCUCGAAAAUGGCACAUGUCAGUGCAUGCUUAAUGAUCAAAGAGGUAGACCCAAUGUGUCAAGUGAAUUCAGAAGACAACAUGUUCAGAAGAUAUCAUAAGCUGGAACAAUUAGGAGUAAUCCUACCAUCCUUCACUAUGAAAUCAAAAUGGCAGCUAAAGAAACAUGGCAGUAGAGAAAAGGCCCAGAAUGGAAUCAGACAAAUGUGGUUUUCAAAUUCCAGCUCCACCCCUUCCUAGUGAAAUGGGAAUAAACACUCUUCUGUAAUAAGGUCCUUAUAAAGAUGGUAUAAGUUGCUGUGUAUGUGGCAUCUAGCAAAAUUUCAAGUCUUUCUGUAAGAACACAAAAAAUGAGAUUUCUCUUACAUAGUAGACACUGUGCAUUGGCUCCCUUUUAUCCUAUCUUCCUGUACUAUAAGAGCAUGAACACUAAAAUACUUGAUUUUCCAGCCUCCCAAUGACAUGGUCUGGCAAAUGAGAAAUAGGCAGAUGUCUUUAGAAAACUGUCCAUCUACAAAUAAAAAGUGAAUGCCUUGCAAGGAAAAGACCUUCCCUCUUCAUCCUGCCCGGUGAGCUGAAAUGAUGCCAAGAGGAAUAGCAGUCAUUCUGAGAACAUGAAGAUGAAAUCCUCAUGCUAAGGACAGUGGAAUAGAAAGAAAGAGCCUGGGUGCUUACUGACCUCUCUUUUAACCACUGUAACAGUCCUGGAUUGUCUACUUCCAUCCUUACUUUUACGUGAGAAAAAUAAACACAUGUUUAGGUCACUA